rnacentral:rRNA from 1 species
CCUACGGGAGGCUGCAGUGAGGAAUAUUGGUCAAUGGACGAGAGUCUGAACCAGCCAAGUAGCGUGAAGGAUGACUGCCCUAUGGGUUGUAAACUUCUUUUAUAUGGGAAUAAAAUGUUCCACGUGUGGGAUUUUGUAUGUACCAUAUGAAUAAGGAUCGGCUAACUCCGUGCCAGUAGCCGCGGUAAUACGGAGGAUCCGAGCGUUAUCCGGAUUUAUUGGGUUUAAAGGGAGCGUAGGUGGAUUGUUAAGUCAGUUGUGAAAGUUUGCGGCUCAACCGUAAAAUUGCAGUUGAAACUGGCAGUCUUGAGUACAGUAGAGGUGGGCGGAAUUCGUGGUGUAGCGGUGAAAUGCUUAGAUAUCAGGAGGAACAUCGGUGGCGUAAGCGCUUUACUGGGCCGUAAUUGACGCUGAGGAACGAAAGCCAGGGUAGCAAAUGGGAUUAGAUACCCUUGUAGUC